rnacentral:rRNA from 1 species
UGGGGAAUAUUGCACAAUGGGCGAAAGCCUGAUGCAGCAACGCCGCGUGAGUGAUGAAGGCCUUCGGGUUGUAAAGCUCUGUCUUUUGGGACGAUAAUGACGGUACCAAAGGAGGAAGCCACGGCUAACUACGUGCCAGCAGCCGCGGUAAUACGUAGGUGGCAAGCGUUGUCCGGAUUUACUGGGCGUAAAGGAUGCGUAGGCGGAUUUUUAAGUGAGAUGUGAAAUACCCGGGCUUAACUUGGGUGCUGCAUUUCAAACUGGGAAUCUAAAGUGCGGGAGAGGAGAAUGGAAUUCCUAGUGUAGCGGUGAAAUGCGUAGAGAUUAGGAAGAACACCAGUGGCGAAGGCGAUUCUCUGGACCGUAACUGACGCUGAGGCAUGAAAGCGUGGGUAGCAAACAGGAUUAGAUACCCUGGUAGUCCACGCCGUAAACGAUGAGUACUAGGUGUAGGAGGUAUCGACCCCUUCUGUGCCGCAGUUAACACAAUAAGUACUCCGCCUGGGGAAGUACGAUCGCAAGAUUAAAACUCAAAUGAAUUGACGGGGGUCAUAGCUGUUUUU